rnacentral:lncRNA from 1 species
UUCCAUUAUCUCAAUGGUCUCUGGAGGGUUUGGCAUUGGCUCAAUUUCAUCUUGAGCAAGGACCUCUUCUUCAGCCAUUGGGAUAUCAUGAGGCUCCCCCUCAGCAUGAACAUCUUCUUGGAGGUUUAGAAACUCCCCCUCAGCUGGUAUAUCUUCUUGAGCUGAAGACUUCUCCCCCUCAGUUGGUGUAUACCCAAUCAUGAGAAUUUCAGGGAUCUCCCCCUCAGCUGGAGCAUCUUCUUCUAAGUUUUCUUGGGACAAUUCUACUUUUGCAGCCAUACUCUUGGCUUCCUUCUUCAGCACUUUUUCAUUUUCAAGAAUAUACUUCUUGACUAGCUUUCUUUUUGCUUUGCUGGGUUUAGCCACAACUUCUGGACUCUCUUGAGUCUUAGCUUAGUCAUGUUGAACAACUACUAUUCUUGAGGCAGCUUCUUCCAUUUCUGCCACACUUGGCCUCGUUUCAGAGAACAACAGAGUCUCUACGAUCGAAGAAACUGUUGGUCUUUUGAACUUAUGACCAGUUUUGUUCUUCUUUAG